AUUGAACGCUGGCGGCAGGCCUAACACAUGCAAGUCGAGCGAGCGGCGGCCGGGUGAGUAAUGUCUGGGAAACUGCCUGAUGGAGGGGGAUAACUACCGGAAACGGUAGCUAAUACCGCAUACCAUCAGAAUUGCCCAGAUGGGAUUAGCUAGUAGGUGGGGUAACGGCCCACCUAGGCGACGAUCCCUAGCUGGUCUUAGAGGAUGACCAGGCACACGGGAACGGGGAAACGGUCCAGACUCCUAAGGGAGGCAGCAGUGGGGAAUAUGGCACAAUGGGCGCAGGCCUGAUGCAGCCACGCCGCGUGUGUGAAGAAGGCCUUCGGGUUGUAAAGCACUUUCAGCGGGGAGGCGUUACCCGCAGAAGAAGCACCGGCUAACUCCGUGCCAGCAGCCGCGGUAAUUC
rnacentral:rRNA from 1 species